CCUACGGGGGGCAGCAGUGAGGAAUAUUGGUCAAUGGACGAGAGUCUGAACCAGCCAAGUAGCGUGAAGGAUGACUGUCCUAUGGGUUGUAAACUUCUUUUAUAUGGGAAUAAAAUGUUCCACGUGUGGGAUUUUGUAUGUACCAUAUGAAUAAGGAUCGGCUAACUCCGUGCCAGCAGCCGCGGUAAUACGGAGGAUCCGAGCGUUAUCCGGAUUUUAUGGGUUUAAAGGGAGCGUAGGGGGGUUGUUAAGGUCGUUGUGAAAGUCGGGGGCUCAACCGUAAAAUUGCAGUUGAAACUGGCAGUCUUGAGUACAGUAGAGGUAGGCGGAAUUCGUGGUGUAGCGGUGAAAUGCUUAGAUAUCACGAAGAACUCCGAUUGCGAAGGCAGUUCACUGGACUGCAACUGACGCUGAGGCUCGAAAGUGUGGGUAUCAAACAGGAUUAGAUACCCCUGUAGUC
rnacentral:rRNA from 1 species